UAGUCUGGGAAACGUGCCUGAUGGAGGGGGAUAACUACUGGAAACGGUAGCUAAUACCGCAUAAUGUCGCAAGACCAAAGUGGGGGACCUUCGGGCCUCAUGCCAUCAGAUGUGCCCAGAUGGGAUUAGCUAGUAGGUGGGGUAAUGGCUCACCUAGGCGACGAUCCCUAGCUGGUCUGAGAGGAUGACCAGCCACACUGGAACUGAGACACGGUCCAG
rnacentral:rRNA from 1 species